GACAGAGGGUGCAAACGUUGCUCGGAGUUACUGGGCGUAAAGCGCGUGUAGGCGGUGCCGCACGUCCGAUGUGAAAGCCCGGGGCUCAACCCCGGAAGUGCAUUGGAUACGACGGCGCUGGAGUCCUGAAGAGGAGGGCGGAAUUCCCGGUGUAGAGGUGAAAUUCGUAGAUAUCGGGAGGAACACCAGUGGCGAAGGCGGCUCUCUGGACAGGAACUGACGCUGAGACGCGAAAGCGUGGGUAGCAAACAGG
rnacentral:rRNA from 1 species